GAGUCGAUGGCAUAGAUGGUUAUCGCAUCUGUCUAACAUUACUAGUCAUUGUACUUGAGUUCACAGAAGGUCCUCAGUUCGAACCUGGGUCGACUCA